GGUUCUCAUCCCGAUUCUUGAAGGCGCUUUGCAUCCUUAUCAGGUCAUCGGCCAGUCUGUCCUCUGGGUUCCAUCCCCAAUCCAAUGGCUAAUCGCCGCAAGCCAAUCAAGACAUGGAGACAACACUUUGGCGUCUCGCUGCUAGUAACCCCACCACCUGGAGCCAGUAACUGGUCUGGGUGGAACAUGCUAGGAACACUGUUCCCUGCUCGGCAACUGGACUCACCCCAUGGAGCAUUCGAAGGGUGAAUCAGCCCUCGUUCUUCCCAGAGCAAGAAGGUCAACACCCUCAGCCCAGAUGUUCGUUCGCCGCUGUUGGCGUACCUGGAGAAGAGCCGCCCAAGCUCUUUUUCAAGACCACCUCCAAGUAUCGUCGACAAGCAGACCACAUCCGGAUUCUUGCUCCCCGCUAUCGGGUCAGGCAGAGGGCCCAUCCCUCCCCCCGUGCGUCAUCGAAGGUCAGCCAGUGUAUAUACGGUGAGACACCUCCUGAUGGUUCAACCAUGGGGCAGGCGUUUCCAGUACCUGGUUGAGGGAGGGUUAUGGCCCAGGGCAGAGGUACUGGAUUCCCACUAAAGACAUCCUGGACCCGGCCCUCACAGACUUUCACCGCCGUCAGCCAGUUCGUCUUGUCAAGUCAACCAGCGUGGUUUUCCGUGCUCCUGCUUUUCUAGUCCUCCCGAUUUUGACCCUUGCCUGCCUUGACUCUGAACCUGCCUGCCUGACCAUGCUGCCUACCCUGACCUCGAGCCUGCCUGCCACUUUGUACCUCCUGAACUCUGAUCUGGUUUUGACUUUGUUGCCUGUCCACGACAAUUCUCUUGCCUACCCCUUGGAUUAUAAUAAAUAUCAGAGACUCAAACUAUCUGCCUCCCGUGUCUACAUCUGGGUCUCGCCCUCUGCCCUUAUAGUAUGUACGUGCCC